AGUGAACGCUGGCGGUAGGCUAACACCUGCAAGUCGAACGGCAGCACAGUAAGAGCUUGCUCUUACGGGUGGCGAGUGGCGGACGGGUGAGGAAUACAUCGGAAUCUACUUUUUCGUGGGGGAUAACGUAGGGAAACUUACGCUAAUACCGCAUACGACCUACGGGUGAAAGCAGGGGAUCUUCGGACCUUGCGCGAUUGAAUGAGCCGAUGUCGGAUUAGCUAGUUGGCGGGGUAAAGGCCCACCAAGGCGACGAUCCGUAGCUGGUCUGAGAGGAUGAUCAGCCACACUGGAACUGAGACACGGUCCAGACUCCUACGGGAGGCAGCAGUGGGGAAUAUUGGACAAUGGGCGCAAGCCUGAUCCAGCCAUACCGCGUGGGUGAAGAAGGCCUUCGGGUUGUAAAGCCCUUUUGUUGGGAAAGAAAAGCAGCAGGUUAAUACCCCGCUGUUCUGACGGUACCCAAAGAAUAAGCACCGGCUAACUUCGUG
rnacentral:rRNA from 1 species